rnacentral:rRNA from 1 species
CAGUCGCCACGGUAAUACGAAGGGGGCUAGCGUUGUUCGGAUUUACUGGGCGUAAAGCGCACGUAGGCGGACUUUUAAGUCAGGGGUGAAAUCCCGGGGCUCAACCCCGGAACUGCCUUUGAUACUGGGAGUCUUGAGUUCGAGAGGGGUGAGUGGAAUUGCGAGUGUAGAGGUGAAAUUCGUAGAUAUUCGCAGGAACACCAGUGGCGAAGGCGGCUCACUGGCUCGAUACUGACGCUGAGGUGCGAAAGCGUGGGGAGCAAACAGGAUUAGAUACCCCCGUAGUCCCUGUCUCUUAUAA